AAAAAACAACAAAAAAUUAUUUGUGGAUGUCUAAUCUAUUUAAUUAUUGGAAGUAUAAUCUAAAAAAAGCAAAGCUAUUUCCAAAUGUGAAAACAUAUAAGAUCAAUUUAUGAACUGAUAUAUCUAAGUAAUAAAUAAAAAAACUUUCUUAGUAAUGACGAAUGAAAAGAAAAUAAAAAAAAAAUUGUUUAACGAUUAAAAAUGUGUUUCAAACGCAUAAUUUAUUUCAUGAAAUUAAAUUAAUGAAAUAAAAAAAAAAGAAAAAUUAAAUAGUGAUAGUGAAUAGUACUGAGAAGGAAAGAUUAAUUCAAAAUAUUUGAAAAUUGAAAAUUAAACAGAUAAUUUUGUCCCAAAAGAAAUUUAAGAUUUUUAUUGGAUACCUUUUGCAUCAUGGGUCAGCAAGUUAAUAAUUAUAAACAAGUAUAAAGCUUUAUGAAAAUAUUUAAGUUUAUAUUAUUAGACCCGAAACUAAUCGAACCAGUCAUUACCAGGGUAAAUAGACCGAACUUGUGAUUGUUGCAAUAAUCUAAGAUGAGUAAUGACUAGAGGUGAAAUUCCUAUCGAGAUUAGAGAUAGCUGGUUUGCUAGGAAAACUAUUUUAGUAGUUUUAUUAUAUAUAUGAAAAGAAAUUUUCAUUUGAUAUGGAUUUAUUCAUAUUAAAAUACACUGAUUGAUGUACAGUACCGGUAUAAUCCUGAUCUAGAAAGAUCUUCCUAAAAGUGUAUAUAAUAAGUCAGAAAAUGAGUGAUAAGAUUCAUAUUCGAGAGAGAAACAACUCUAUCUAUAGGAAACAGUUUCAAAAUGAAAGUUUAGUGAAUAUAAAAUGUAAAAUUCGAUUACUCAUUUGAGUGGUCGACGUAAAGUCGACCGCUCUCCGAGUAAAUAUAAUUAAAUUUAUAUUUAAGAUUCUUUUAGGUGGGCUUGGUAGCGGCCAUCCUUAUUUUAAUACGUAACAGCAAAAAAGAAUUAUAAAUUUUAUAUUGUAAAUGUACGAAUCAAAAACUUUCUACUUUAACCAUAGAAGGAAAGAAAAUUUCCUUAGUACUAGCAUUAAAAAAGUUAUAAACUUUUUUUUGAGAAUGCUGACAUGAGUAACGUAAAAAAAGAGAAAAUGUUCAUAUGAACAUGAAAAAGAUCUCUUUGAUCGUAAAUCCAAGGUUUUCAAGUAAUAUUUUUUAAAAUAUUGAGUAAUCCGGUUUCUAAGAUUUAAAUUUCGAUGAAUAAUGAUUUUAUCAGGAAAUUAUUUAAAUUACCGUACUUAUAACCGACUCUGGUGGAUUUAAUAUGAUUUGGAGAGAACUAUUUAGAAGGAACUCGGCAAAUUAGGAGUGCGACUGUGACUUUGAACAUAGGUCUUAGCAAACUUUAAUAGGAUGUAUUAAGGCCGGUACCUGCCCGGUGCUAGCAACCAAAAGAUUUAAUGAUUUAAAUCCAAAACUCUAGUAAACGGCAGCUGUAACUCUGACGGUUCUAAGGUAGCGAAAUUCCUCGGCUAUUAAUUGUAGUCCCGCAUGAAUGGUGAAACGACGCUCCGACUGUCUCCUAAAUAGACUCCGUGAAGUUACAUUUUUCGUGCAGAUGCGAAAAAUCCUCAGCAAGACGAGAAGACCCUAUGAAGCUUUACUGAUUUGAAAAAUCAAAUUUAUUUUUCUUAGUCAGUUUCGCUGGGGCGGCGACCUCCAAAAUAGUAACGGAGUGUCAACAAUGGCAUGAAAUCAUUUAACGGAUUAAACAUGCUUAAAAAAAAGAAUUACAAUUCUUUUUUUAAUAAUAAAAAUAUCUCAUUUUUCUUGUUUGUCGUAGUGAUCCGCUAAUUUUUUUAGCGCUUAAGGAAUUCAAGCUACUCUAGGGAUAACAGGCUAGUCUUAAAAUUCGGUAUCUACGGAUUUGAAGGAUCGGCACCUCGAUGUCGACUCUACCUAUCCUAGGGCUGUAAGCGGUCCUAAGGGUGCGACUGUUCUUCGCAUAAAAGGUAACGUGAGUUGGGUUUAUACCGCGGUGACGCAGGUAGGAUUCUAUCUACUGAGGAAUAAAAAAAGAAAUUACUAGCUCUAGUACGAGAGGACUGAGUGGGUUGAACCAAUGAUUAAAAUAUAAUAAUUUAGUUAUGUUCAUAAUAAUGAAUUCCUGAAUUCAUCUAAGGAAGAAAUUAAGUUUUAUUUUUUAUUUUAAAUAAAAAUUAGUAGACUACUAAUUUAAAUAUUGAUACAUAAAAUUUAUCAAAUUUUUUCUAAUGUUCUAUGUAAAAUAGAACGCUAGAUUCUCGAAUCU
rnacentral:rRNA from 1 species